rnacentral:tRNA from 1 species
GGGGUUGUGGCUCGGUGGUAGAGCGCUCGCCUGGCAUGCGGGAGGCACUGGGUUCAAUCCUCAGCACCACA